UGUAGUGGCCACACCGGUUUAUCAAAACUUGAUCUCGUCAGUUCUCAGAAGCUAAGCAAGGCCAGGCCUGGUUAGUACUUGGAUGGGAGAUUGUUGGGAAAAUCAGGUGCCACAGUGG
rnacentral:rRNA from 1 species